CCAAAGUCAGACGCUCAACCGACUGAGCCACCCAGGCGCCCCCACCAUGUAGCAAGUCUUAAUAAAUAUUGGGUCCUAUUAUCCCUAUCUCAGGCACAUCCUCCCACACAAAGGACAAUCACCACUAGGAGAAACAUCAAGAAAAUGAGGAAAGAUAACAGAGGCCAUCCUGGCCUCCUCUAAUGACAAAGCAAGGAAAUGACUAGACUCAGUGAGGUCUGAAUGUGAUGGAGAGGAAGCGUCCACACUGAGCCAAGAGCCCCUCAGUGCGCAGUUUUCCAGGGAGAGAAUUACAGGAAGACGCAGCUUCCGGCAUUUAGAAGUGAGAAUGUUUUCAUCAUCAUUGUAAGGCCGAUUUUAAAUAGUUUGGCUAAUUAGGUGGUGAUUAAAUUAUACUGCUCCCAUAUGCUUGUGCUUUCUUCUCUGCAGAAUAUAUCUGCCCAAAAAGUUGUAGGUGAAUUAUAUGUUUGUAAAGGAAUGUUUUGAUUCUUUGCACAUAGUAAGCACUCAAAUGUAUUGAAUGGUUACCUAUUUUAUAAAGCUAGGAACAAUCAUAAUAAUAGCAGCUAAUAAGCUGAUAAGGAUUUACUUUGCACUUCGCGGAAUUAUCUCAUUCAAUCCCACAAAGUUGGUAAUAUUAUUCUUUCCAACUAACUCUUGAAGAAAGCAAAGUCUAGAGGGCAAUGAAUUCUCGGUGUCAUCAAGAUCUUUCUGUCAUUUCUUUGUUUGCCUGUUUGGAUUUUUGUUGUUGGGUAUUCUUAGAAUGCACCUGCAGGAGAAGUGAUAGAAGUGACUUUCAAUACAGCUCUAAAUAGACGUGACUGCUAAAGAAUUAGGAGGAAUGGCAUAUGGCGAUGCUGAGGAUAGAGCCGUGGGCAUGGCGUGGGGACUGUCAGAGUAUGAUGGACGGAGGAGGCGUGGGGAGGAGGAAGAACCGGGAAGACUGGGCGGAAGCCACCCGUGAAGCAGACUCGCAGUGAGCCCUUGGGCAGAGCGGUCGUGGGCAAGCCUGAAUGACCCUGGCUCUUCUUCACCUAAGACAGUCCUGGCUCAUCAUAAAUGAACCCCAAUCAUCUGUCUGGCGUCAUCUGUUAUUUCCUCCUCCCAGGCCUACUUUCCCGAUGUGGUAAACUACCUCCUGUUGGAAAAAUGUACUGUUUCUUUCCACAUGUCUCUGUUUUUACUCAUGGUAUACCAGCUAUAUAAAAUGUCCUCUUUCAAGACCCAGCUGGUUAAUGUGCUAAAGCCACGACUUCUUUGAAUAUAGAUGAUCUCCAAUUCUUGUAAAAUUCUGCAAGAUAGGCUUAUUAUUUCCAUCUUGCAGAUGGAGAAACAGAGACUAAAUACUGAAGUCAGCAUUGCACAAGUAGAUCUAGGGCUAGCGGAUAGGUCUGCCUGAUUUUAAAGUCUGCUACUUUCUCCUUUUCCCGUGUCUGUAGAAAUUCCCAGUCACCUUUUGAGCUGCAGCCCUCAUGCUGUUUCCUCUGUGAAGCUUUAAUGGAAUUCCUCAGGAACACAGACUCCUUGCAAGAGUGACUUCUAUCUUGGCUUAUGCUGAUGGUCCCAAGUGUCACCCGGUUCCGUGAAAGAAGAAAGGAUGAAGGUGCAGAAAGCCAAUCUUUAAUGGAUCUGGAUGCGUUGUCCACACCCCCACGCUAACCCUCCCAGCAGCUGUCAUCCCUACUGGACAGACGAGGUGAGAGGACCCAGAGAGGCUAAGCAGGCUGUCCGAGAUGGCAGACCCAGAGCUAACAGCUAGGAUGGACCCAAAUCCCACCACCUUUCCACAAGGAUUCACCAUCCUGAACCAGGAGAAGCAGCUAAAAACCCUGGAUUCCAGCCCCGGUGCCAUCUAGACAGAGAUCGCGUCAGAAUGGACCCUAGUGGAAAUUGAGCCUUUCAAAGUGACGUCAACAUGAUACUGGCACCUGGCCUUGGGUCUCUUUACAAAGGAAAGGGGAGGAGCAAAUUCAGGUAAACACCAGGAGAGAGGUAAUCCCCGUCCUCUGUGGCUCCUAGCACUGACCUCCACCAAGGCCAGCCUAUAAGGGUUGGUGUCAAUGAUGUAAAGCUUGAAACUUGAUCCCUUCCCAGGGAACAGAAUGGGGGUGCGGUUCUUGAGAAACCAGACUGAAGAGAAAUUAGCCUUCACCAGCUGCUCCUGUAAUUGCAUUUAAAUUCAGUUAAACUAAUUUCUUACACUUGAUAAAAGCAGUUGUCUUUCCAAAUCAUCCUCAGACUCCUCCAUUCCAAACACAAUAUAAAUAUGCCACGGCCUGGUUAGAGAGGUCCUUCCUUCUGGGCCUCUUUGUCACCUUACCUCUGUUCUUGGCCCUUCGCUGGGGCACAGUUUUUUGUAAAGAGCUCAGAAAGCUGAACUGCCCUAUUAGCAUAAGAGUCUGUGACUCAUUGACUCACAGAUUGUAAAUCACACUCACAUGGGAUUUUAAUUAAUUAUAUUAAUUUUAGGGGAAACAACAAAACUGAAAAGUCUACAGUGCCUCAUUUACUGAGAAACUCUGAAAUGUCUUUUAUUUUUAGCAAGAGCCAUAAAAACAUCUCAUACUGAAAUAAUGCAAAAAUCAAGGAAGGGUUGUAUUACUCAGCGUGAUCGCGCCCUUUAAAAGGCUUUGACAUUUUCUUUAUUUUUGUAAGGUUUUUUAGAAAGAAAAAAAUAUAUAUUAUAUUACAUACACAUCUACACAUGCAUACGCUACCCAGAUCCUCUCUGCAAGAAUAUUCACUACUGACUGCAAUUUGGUGUAAGGUGGUUCUAUCUUAGACCCUCUCAAAGGGAGAUUAAUUACUAAAUUAUCAUAAAAAGCAUGCAAUUAGUUAUCUUCAUUUAAGAGACUGCCCCAUGGUAAGAGACUCUCAAAUACUUGUAUGCACAUACACACUUCAUUCGUUGUUUAUUAUUCAUUUGCAUUUAUUCAUUUAGUCAAGCUAAUAUAUAUCAGGGCCUACUAUGUGCCUGACACUUUGCAGGGGCUGACAGUACAAAGUGAACUUAAUAAGACCAGUCUGGAGGUGGAGGUGCAUAGGGUUCCACAUGGUUAAGCAGCAUCAUAGAAUCAAGGGUACAGGGCUGUGGGAACAAGGAGGGAGCAUCUGAGGGCAUCAGAGAGAAAGGGAAAGGACAGAGGGGCAGUGACAUAAAGGAAAACCAAGAGUGAAGAUCUACAGGUUUUAGUUCAGGAAGUGACUCUUACCCGCCAUGUGUGUGUCAGACACUAGCCAGGUGCUGGGGAAGCCAGCAGUGAGCAAGCUAGACACAGCCACCCCUGUUUUGGAAUUUACAAUCUAAUUAGGAGACGUUAGUCAAAUAAUAGCACAGGAAUAAAAUUGCUAUUUUGGUAAGAACCUUUAAGGAAAAAGUACAGGGGCUUUAAGAGUAUACACCAUGUAGCUAAGCUACAUGGUGAAAAUGAGGGUUGGCUUGCUUGAGAAAGUGACAAUAGAGCAGAGACCUGACAAAUUAACAGGCAUGGCCAGAGGAGGGACGGUGGGAAGAGUGUUCCAAGUAGAAGGAACAGAUAGGCAAAGCACUAUUAGAGAAAGCUUGGAAUUUUCUAGAAACCAGGAAGAAGUCAGAGUGAGUGGAACACAACAAGGGAUGAUGAGGUGGGAGGUGGGGAGGUUAGACCCUUCUAAGACCAAGGUCGGAGAGGUGGGCAGGGACAAGAAUAUAUAAAAUUUGGGCUUUAAGCUAAAAGUAGUAGAAGCACAGUAACACACUAAAAAAAACCCACCCACAAUUUCUUUAGGGAAGAAAGUUAUGAAUUUAAGUGCCUUACAUUGUACCAGAAGCUCAAGAAAAUCAGUUAUUGUCCCUCUUUCUGUACCCAGCUCAGGUCCUUGACUAGGCUAAUGCAUGUAUUCUGCACCUACAUGUUGGUCUCCAGUAGUAUAUUUUGUACUGUUGGUUCUGAUUUUGAUUUUUAAACCAGUUUGUCAACUUGUCUCCUGCCUCCAUGACCAUUUAUGGUUUCUGCUAUAAUUAGCCAUCUGGAUGAUGGAAUAGCUCAUUCAUUCCAUGAUUCAUUCAACAAAUGCUUAUUGAAUAUCCCUGUUGUACAAUGAUUUAUCCCUCGUUGAACUUACAGUUUCACAAAGGUGUAAGAUACAUGCAUAAAAAUUAUAAUAUUGAAUGUUAUACUGGAGGCCCUAGACAGUGCAAAGGAAGGGCAAGAAAAACAACAACAGUAUGUUCAUAGAACAUCUAAAAUAACCUACAGAUAAAUUAUUAGAAUUAAUGAGGGAUUUUUCCGAGGUAGCUGGAUACAAUAGCAAUAUACAAAACUCAAUUGUAUUCCUAUAAAUCAGUAAAUAAUUAUGUAAAACAUAUGAAGCAAUUAAUAUAAGUAUGUUUUUAACAUAUGGAAGAUAUGCACAGACAAAAUUUUAACACUGUAUUGAGAGAUAUUAAAGAAAACCUAAAUAAAUUGAAAAAUAUACCAUAUUCAUGGAUGAGAAGACCCAAUUUUGGAAGGAUACUAAUUUUCCCCAAGCUGAUUCAUGGAUUCCAUGUAAUCUUAAUCCUAGCCAAAAUUCUAGCAAGGUGUUGGUAAAAUUUGAGAAGUUGAUUCUAAAAGUUAGAUGUAAACACAAAGAAUCUCUGACUCUUCUGAAGAAAACAAUGAAGUAGAAAGACUUGCUCUACCAGACACCAGAUUUGUUUUAAAUUGUAGUAAAGGCAGCAUAGUCUUGGCACAGAAUGGACAGAUGGACUAAUGGAACAGAAUAGAGAGAACAGAAAAAUGAUCAACACAUGUGUGGACAUUUGACAUAUGAAAAAGACGCAUGGCAGAUGAAUGAGGAGAGGAAGACAUUUUCAAUGAUGAAUUCCAGGUAGACUACAGAUCUAAGUGUAAAAGGUGAAACUAUAAGCUUUUAGAUGUCAAUAUAGAAUAUUUUCACAUAAAAAUAUAUGCAAUGUCUUCUUAAACAAGAUCAGAAAGGAAAGAUACAUGAGAUUGGCUACAUUAAAAUUAAGAACUUGUAUUCACCAAAGGAUUCUAUACAAAUAAUAAAAGGUCAGACUGUAAAUUGGAAGAAGAUGUAAAUAUGUUAUGUUACAGAAUAUGUAAUAUAUGUGUCAAUAAAUUGAAAAUCUAUUUUAAAAACCUACUCCAUAUCAAUAAGAGAAACUCAAUUCAGUAGAAAAAUGGACAAAACCCAAUAAAUUACCAAAGAUGAAAUCCAAAUGGCCAAUACAUAAGUGUAAAAGCAUUUUAUGGGUAAUGAGGGAAAUGCAAAUUAAAACCACAAAGAGAUAACACUACAUACCCACAAGACUGGCAAGUAUUUAAAAGUUUGGCAAUACCACGAUUGGAUAAGGUGUGCAAUAGUGAGAAGUCUCAAACACUGUGGAGUGGAAGGGAGGUGUAAGUUGGUACAACUACUUUGGAAAAGAAUUGUCGUUAUCCACUCCAUUUGAAGAUACACAAAGAUAAGCUUAUAACUCUGUGCUUCCGUAUCACAUAUGUCCUAGAGAAACUCAUGUAUGUGUACACUUGGAUAAAUGUACCAGAAUGUUUAAGGCAGAAUUCCUGAUGAUAACUAAAAACUGGAAAUAAGCCAAAUGUUCUCUUACAAAGAAUGGAUAAAUAAGUAGGAUAUUCAUAAAAUGAGGACUGUACAUCAAUAAAGAUAGAUGUAGCUAUUUGAAGCACAAAUGACUCUCAAACAGUGUUGAACAAAAGAUAAAAGGCAAAAGGAUACGAUGUGGAAUGAUUUCCAUUUGUGUGAAAUUUCCAGUCAUAAGGACAGGUAAAAUCAAACCAUAUUGUUUAUGGAGACAUGCCAAAGUGGUAAAACUAUCAAAUAAAGCCCAAAAAGAAUGAUCACAGAAGUCAGGACAAAAGUGGCUUCCAGGGUAGAGGGACAGGGAUAUGACUGGAGAAGUUACCUGGAAGGCUUCCAGAUGGCUGGCCACAUUCUAAUUCUCGACCCAG